UUUACAGGUGAGGAAAAUGAGGCAAUCAGGAUUAAGUGCCUUGACCAGGGUCAAAAAGCUAGUAAAUAUCUGAAGCCAGAUUUGAACUCAUGAAGAGGAGUCUUCCUGUUCCAAGCCUAGUGCUCUAUCUACUGUGCCACCUAGCUGCCAUUCCAGCUGUCCUACUUACCUGUGAUGUACUUCCUGUGUGACCAUCCUAGCCAUGAUAAUCGUCAGUCUAAACUGGAUGCCAAUGUGAAUGAAUUGAAGGAUGAAGCAAAUCUAAUAGAUUUUAAUCAAGAACAAUUUCCUCAAUUCAGAUAG
rnacentral:lncRNA from 1 species